CGGCCAAACAAAUUUUGGACAGCUGAGAUGUGGAUUCAAAUUUUGAAUCCCUUACUCAUCCCAAUCCCAAGACACUUAUCAUACGCAUGCUCUUCGCAUGCUUUUCUGUUCCUAUUCUUUCUUCUCCCAGAGAAACCCUAAAACACAAAUGAAGUCAGAUUUUGUAGAUUCCAAUUACUUCUCAUUCUCAACAAAAUCGACUUCUCAUUUUUAUCAAAAUCACCCCGGAAUUAUUCAACGAUUUGGAUGAACAAAGAUCCAUCCAACUCACAUCCAAGUUCCGAAAACCCAAGAUCUAGGAUUUAAUUUCAUGUCUGGAUUAAACUGAUUAGGAUGACAGAUCUACAGUUCGUGAUUGCACUUGGUUGAGGGUUUCAAACAGUGCGAGGUUAUGGCGUCUGCAGAUGCUGAGCUGGAGCGACUGCUUAAGGAGACAGGGAAACAGUUAUCGCUUCCUCAUGAUUAUGUUGAUGAACUUCUUCAUGUUCUUGAUUUUUCUUAGUUACAGCCGGAGAACUUUCGUGGAGGAGAAUGGUUGAAUAAGCUGGCGAUGAUGAAGACAGUUCAGAAGGGCACCGUGAAUCUGUGAGUAAAUACACCUCUCGAAAUCUUCAGUUUGAGUGGAUUCGCUCAGAUGUUAUUCCAGGGUUUCUAUGUGGAGAAGAAACGCAUGAUUGGUGGUUGGAUCUCAUAAAAGGAAUGAGUUGUUGACAAUAAGACAUGAAUCUGAUGGAAAGGGGGAGAGUUGAGCUUAAGAGGAUUGAAAACAAGAUAAACAGGCAAGUGACUUUUGCAAAAAGAAGAAAUGGACUGCUGAAGAAAGCAUAUGAACUCUCUGUACUUUGUGAUGCUGAGGUGGCUCUUAUUAUCUUCUCCAACCAUGGGAAGCUGUUCUGCAGCACCUCCAAGUACACUUUUUUACUAUGUGUUUGUGUGUGCUUUUGUAGAUCUGAGAUGGGUUUUGUGUUUCUUGAUGUAUAGAUAUAUAAUCAUGUGGUUAUUUGUUAGUUUAGUGUGGUUUGUGUAGAAGAAGAUUCUCAAGUUGGAAUGUCGUUGUUAGGAUCACACUGGUUGAAUCUGAAGGUUCCGGAGCCUGCUCAGGCGUUGCAGAAUCUGCCGCUGCAUCUACAGGCAGAUAUAAGUAUGGAAGCCAUGAAUCAAGUCAAAAGGAGAAAAACGAUGUUCAGAUGGUGGAUGAAGGUGGAUAUCUGAUUUAAAUAUUGUGAUAUACCUUCAGUGAAAAGACUUAAGGUUCAGGCGCAUCCUCGAGCUAUCAUUGGUGGACAAACAGUUGUAUCUAAUCACUAUCCGCUCUGUUCGGGCAGGCUACGCCUCAAGAGAUUUGUAAAAAACGUUCUUGAUUUGGGCCGAAACCAACAACCAACCAAAUUAGACCAGUUGAAUGUGACUGAUUUUGACAAAAUAAAAUCCAGUCAAAAAAACCUACCUACAGUUUUAAAAAAAAAACAACAAUACAAUUGACUAGAUUUGCUGGGUCAACUGGAUUGGCAAAAGCGGUUUGUUUUGACAUUUCGAUAAAGAUAGUUCAUGAUAUCGUGUAGAUACAUUUUCUAAAAAAAAUAAUAGAUAUAAAUAACGAAUUUUGUUUACACGUGUUCCACAUUUUUUGGUCUAAUUUGGUAUUGAUAUCAAUUGUUAAUAGACAUGUCGAUUUUUUUGGUCUUUUUCGUGCAGAGGGACUCUUUCCACUAUGUAACAUUUUUCUUUAAACGUGUUACACAUUUUUUAUCCGAAUUUUUUAACCUUUUGUUUGAAAAAGCUAAGAAUGUAUGUCCAUUUAUUGGGUAUGUUGAUAACUCAACAUCUAUGUCAACAACUUAUUACCUUUAUAGUCAUGAUGAUUGCGAUUAAAACCUCCUGUAUGCAUGUUUGUGUUUCCUUAGAUACACCUUUAAAUAUAUCAACCUGACCGCUGUUCCGCUUUCAAAAUUUCAUCUUAAAUCUUCUAAAAUUUCAUCUUAAAUCUUUUAAAAUUUCAUCUCAAAUCUUCAUCGUGGUCCAAGUGUCAGCCGACUUACAAAGGUAAUUUUUUCUAAUGACUGCAGAUCUAUAGUUAUGCCAUUUAUGUUUAGCUGUGAAAUUUUAAAUGGUUUUUUUUUUUUUUGUGUGUUUAACAGCAUCAAGAUUACUAUUUAAAAGGUGGCUUGAUUUGAUUAUUUUUAAAAUGGUUUUUUUACUGUGCUUUUCGCACAACUAGAAACUAAGUAAUCACAUAACAAAUUUUAUUAACCACAUGGACCUGCAAUACCGACCCGAUUCCCACCUUACCCGAACCACAGGUACAAACCAGUUUCAGACCCGGCCGAAGAAAAAAGAACCAAACCGGAUCCACCUCUACCCGGUCAAAACCCGGACCUGAACUGGCCAAAACCCAAAAAAACUGCCAAACUUGUAAAAACACGAAUAUGCUGGAACCUGUUCCUACUCGGAACCAGUACCUACCCAAUACCAAUUCUAAAAAAGCCUGUUUUGUGCCCCUCUGAUAUUCACAAUUGAGCAUUUGGCCGGUGAAGUGAAACCAGUAGAAUGUGAUGUCGGUGACAGCAUUCCUGGCGGCGCAAGAAAUAUAGACGGUAUGAUGAUUCUCAAGGCAAAGAAGACGUGGAAAGAAUCUAUGCUGAAUAAGAUAGUGCAGCUGACAAAAGAAGGUUCAACAAAGGAAACCAAAGCUUCAAAUGUGGUUGGAUCAGUUUGGUGAGAAUUACAGUAGGGUAUGAUGCAACCAUCAAUGAGAUUGAACUUUUUUGCUUCAAAAAGUAGCUGAGCCAAGCAAUAUACACUGUAUACGCUUCAUACAGUACGGUGGCUGAUGAAUGGAGUAUUGGUUUUAUAGCAUAUAUUCUUUUAUGUGGGACCAGGCCCUUUUGGGCCCGAACUAAGUCCCAGAUUUUUCGGGUUGUUUUAAAAGUCCAUUCAAGUUUUAAUGAAGUACCGUGGCCUACGUUAUCCUUUUGAGUCUAAAGUAUUUUGUUAAAUGUUUAUCAAACAAAUAACCUAGGAAAAGAUUGACGACUACUCAAGCAUUGACUAUGUGACAUCUGAUUUGUUGUAUCGUGCUACUUAAGUUUUAGGUUUUGGUUAUUUUGAAAUGAUAAGAAUGAAUUUUGUAAGCCA